UACAGAGGGUGCGAGCGUUGUUCGGAAUUAUUGGGCGUAAAGGGCGCGUAGGCGGUGCGGUAAGUCACCUGUGAAAUCUCCUGGCUCAACUGGGAGCUUGCAGGCGAAACUGCCGUGCUGGAGUGUGGGAGAGGUGAGUGGAAUUCCUGGUGUAGCGGUGAAAUGCGCAGAUAUCAGGAAGAACACCCGUGGCGAAGGCGGCUCUCUGGACCAGCACUGACACUGAAGCACGAAAGCGUGGGGAGCAAACAGG
rnacentral:rRNA from 1 species